GACGAUUCGAGAAAGUCGCGAGAAGAGCUUAGAUCGAAUUAGAAAUUAGGAUCUAGGAUCGCCAACAGAGAGCCCGGCUAGAAUACCAAUCAGCAGUAGUAGCAGCAGAGCAUAUCGUCGACAUCGUCGGUCGACGCAUAUCAGUGGGCGGGUUCGUGGACUCUCCGCGUAACUAUUAAUAAAGCUCGGCUUGUCUCUUCAAGGUCGUAGUCGUGCCUUCGAAAAGAGAUAUAUCGUACGGCCACUGCGAUUUGCCGAUAUAUAAAUAAGCGCAAUUUGGGAAAUAACGUGAAUUUGUUGGACAUUCGAAAGUGAUCUCUCACCAAGGAAGAAACGGGGAUUAUUGUUUUGAGAAUAAGAGAUCUCGUACGUGUGUUAAGGUCGCUGUUAAGAUCGGGUUACUCGAACGGGAAUCGGAGAAUUGGGUGAUGUAUCGCUGUUUAAGUCGAAAAAGACCGAUUUAUGGAAUUGAUCUUAGUGAGUGAAUUUUCUCGAUUGACGAAGCAUACAUGUAGCAUUGAUCCAGACCAGUCGAUGUUCAAUUGUUUAAACAAACAAAGAAACAGUAAAAAAUAAGACAGUUGCAAGAAGAGGGUGGGAGAAUGAACAAAAACUAAACUAUGGGAACAUAAUCGAUUGAUGUCGAUCGACAAAGAUUAACGAUAUAGUCAAAACGUGUCGUGUGAACUUACAGCAACAAAUGUUUUUUGUUGAUUACAAGAAAAUUGUAUUUCAGAUUAUUUCUCUUAAGUAUCUUCGUUAGCUUGUUAAAUAUAAGCCAAUAGUAUCUAUCCUUUUCUUUUUUCUCCUACAUGCAAUUUUCCAGCUCCGAUUAGUUUCCUAGGUGGAUUAAGUAAGGAUAGGUCGGGAGAUCGAGUUAAGCACAUUUCUAAGACGAAAGAUGUAUGUAGGGAGAGAAAGAGAGAGAGAGAGAGAGAGAGAGAGAGAGAGAGAGAGAGAGAGAGAGAGAGAGAGAGAGAGAGAGA